CAGCAGCCACGGUAAUACGGAGGGAGCUAGCGUUGUUCGGAAUCACUGGGCGUAAAGCGCACGUAGGCGGCUAUUCAAGUCAGGGGUGAAAGCCCGGGGCUCAACCCCGGAACUGCCUUUGAAACUAGAUAGCUUGAGUCUUGGAGAGGCGAGUGGAAUUCCGAGUGUAGAGGUGAAUUUCGUAGAUAUUCGGAAGAACACCAGUGGCGAAGGCGACUCGCUGGACAAGUAUUGACGCUGAGGUGCGAAAGCGUGGGGAGCAAACAGGAUUAGAUACCCGCGUAGUCCCUGUCUCUUAUAC
rnacentral:rRNA from 1 species